UAACCUUAAAUAUUAAAAAAGAGGUACAGUAACUUUUUAUACAUAUAAAAAGCUCCUGUAGCUCCCCCAUUUCCAACAACCACACCUUCUCCCGCCCCUCUUUCUUCUGCACAUCGACUACCAUCAACAAAUUAAGCAAAACUACCAUCAAGUUCUCACUUCCCAGGUUCUGAUUUGUAAAUUGUGGAGGGUUCCGAGUUCGAUUUGUAAACAUAGGCAAUGAUGCGGCUUCUAUUGGAAACUAGGGUUCCGAUUUGAAAAUGAUUUUUCUUAAUCAGUGGAAAUAUCAAUUGAUUCAUCCUUCACAUCUCCAUCCAUCUGCGUUCUGUUUUGGAUUUCGAAGGGCUGCGUUCUGUAAGCUUAUUUUAUUCAAACAGUGAAUCAAAAACAACCUUCACUACUGGGUACUGACUGAAGGUUGCACCAAUCAAACAGGCCCACUUUGGAUUAUUAAAGCUGUUGAGUUAAUUGCAAGUUUGAUCAAAUGGUUCGUACAUUCUUUCGCAAGUUGUUGAGAUACCUAUCUUCGGAAGAUGAUAGCGAUGAUGAUCUUGAUGAGGAUGUCGAAGAACAAUGUACUCGCAAACGUCGUAAAUUUAUUCGACGCAAUCAUAUUCAGGGACAUGAGCGUUUAUAUCGUGAUUAUUUUGCAGAAAAUCCAGUAUAUCCCUCGAAUCUGUUUCGACGGAGAUUUCGGAUGAGUCGUCCUCUAUUUCUCCGUAUUCUAAAUGAGGUUGUGGCUAACGAGCCAUACUUCGUCCAAAGAAGAGAUAAUAUCGGAAGACUCGGUUUAUCUUCUAAGCAAAAGAUAAUAUCGGAAGACUCGGUUAUAUUAGAUUGUUUUGUGAAUGUUAUGAGUUGGGUUUAGAAAUAUGUUAUGCGAUGUUCAUUAGAAUUAUAUAUGUAUGACUAGAACUUAUUAGCUCAACUUUUGUUAAAUGUGAAGGUUUAUGUUUAUCGAUUGUUCUGUAUUUUGAGU
rnacentral:lncRNA from 1 species